rnacentral:rRNA from 1 species
GGAAUAUUGCACAAUGGGGGAAACCCUGAUGCAGCGACGCCGCGUGAGUGAAGAAGUAUUUCGGUACGUAAAGCUCUAUCAGCAGGGAAGAAAAAAAGUCCUUUGGACUUUGGACGGUACCUGACCAAGAAGCCCCGGCUAACUACGUGCCAGCAGCCGCGGUAAUACGUAGGGGGGCAAGCGUUAUCCGGAAUUACUGGGUGUAAAGGGAGCGUAGACGGUUAAGUAAGUCUGGAGUGAAAGGCUGGGGCCCAACCCCGGGACUGCUCUGGAAACUAUUUAACUUGAGUGCAGGAGAGGUAAGCGGAAUUCCUAGUGUAGCGGUGAAAUGCGUAGAUAUUAGGAGGAACACCAGUGGCGAAGGCGGCUUACUGGACUGUAACUGACGUUGAGGCUCGAAAGCGUGGGUAUCGAAC